rnacentral:rRNA from 1 species
AUACGUAGGGGGCGAGCGUUGUCCGGAAUUACUGGGCGUAAAGGGCACGUAGGCGGCGCGUCAAGUCGUCUGUGAAAUGGAAGGGCUCCACCCUUGUUCGCAGAGAAAACCAGAGAGCUUGAGGACCAGAGAGGCAAACAGAAUUCCCGGGGGAGCGGGGAAAUGCGUAGAUAACAGGAAGAAUACCAGUGGGGAAGGGGGUUUGCUGGCUGUAUACUGGCGCUGAAGCGCGAAAGCCAGGGGAGCGAACGGGAUUUGAUACCCCGGUAGUCCUGGCAGUAAACGGUAGAUGCUGAGUGUGUGACUAGCAAUAGUUCGGUUCCGAAGUUAACGCGAUAAGUAUACCGCCUGGGGAGUACGGUCGCAAGAUUGAAACUCAAAUGAAUUGGCGGGG